GAAAGAAAACAUCUGAGACAGUUUUCUUAACAGGAAAACUUAAUGGUCCAUGAGAAAUCAUUAAGACUACUGGAUGAAGGAAAAAGAAAGAUCUGCUCUCAAGAGUCUCCCCAUUGUGUAAAGGCUACACCUUUCCUCCAGACAUGGACUUGAGUUGUGCAGUGUCAGCAUAGGCAAUAUUUCUUAUGUCACGCAUCCAUUUGUCAAACAGCUGUUUCAGGGUGCUACUGCAAGGGAACCUGUCCAUGGGAACAGUGAAAACAUCAUUUUCCCUAACCAGUGGAAAUGCUUACUGGAACUAUAUUUUACUUGUGUUCUUAUUAGAGUUGUAGGAAUGCUUU